rnacentral:lncRNA from 1 species
CUGGCCUUAGGGGGCCGCAGGUGACUUCUGCCCUUUCCCAGCCCCCUUUGCCCACUCUCUGGGAGCCGGGAAGGGGGUCUCUCCUGCAGGCUGCGUGCUCCUGCAGAGGCCGAGCCCGGAGCUGAGUGGACAUGGCAGAGCCGAGCAUGGCAGAGCUCAUUGCCCAGAGCUGGCUCCUCUUGUCCAGCCCCCGGGAGCACUGCCCUGUCCCUUCCUGUGGAUGCCAGCUGGCCGGGACGCGUAGGGGCGGGCAGCUUCUGUCGAGUCACCCCCAGUGGAACCUGAUGACGUCAUUUAUCCUAACUACAGCCCCGUGCAGUGAGGACUGGGAAGAGCAUCACCUCCAUUUCUCCAGGAGAGACUGCCGCCAGAGAGGUUAAGCAACUUGCCCAAGGCCACACAGCCAGCUACAGAGAGACAGAACUGGGGAAUUCAAUUCUGGCAGUGGCUGCUGAGUGUCCCAGGUCUUUGCCCCGUGUCCCCCAGUCCAUCCCGGCUCUGGUGGCCUCUUUCUGCGAGUGGAAGUUAGACCCACGCUGCUUUCCCUCCAAAGUCACUUCAUCUGACCUUCAGCUUCUGCCCUCUGGAAAAUGACUCGUGCCCUGGCCAAGAAGCCCCCACGCACGCCCAGGACGUGGAGCAGGUGGACGCCCAUGUGUGCCCGCCCCAGAACAGGCACCUCCCUUUCUUCGCUAGCUUUCUGGAGCUAGCACUCACAUUCCAUACCCUUCACCCAUUUAAAUCGCACAAGUCAGUGGUUUUUAUAUAUAUUCACAGUUGGCAGCCAUCGCUAUCAUCCCUUUUAGGACAUUUCCAUCACCCCAAAUGAAACCCUGCUAAAUGAAACCCCAUUCCCUUGUCUGCCCUGCCCUGGGCACCCA